rnacentral:rRNA from 1 species
CAGUCGCCGCGGGAACACCGAGGGUGCAAGCGUUAAUCGGAAUUACUGGGCGUAAAGCGCGCGUAGGUGGUUUGUUAAGUUGGAUGUGAAAGCCCCGGGCUCAACCUGGGAACUGCAUCCAAAACUGGCAAGCUAGAGUACGGUAGAGGGUGGUGGAAUUUCCUGUGUAGCGGUGAAAUGCGUAGAUAUAGGAAGGAACACCAGUGGCGAAGGCGACCACCUGGACUGAUACUGACACUGAGGUGCGAAAGCGUGGGGAGCAAACAGGAUUAGAUACCCCUGUAGUCCCUGUCUCUUAUAC